AUUGAACGCUGGCGGCAGGCCUAACACAUGCAAGUCGAACGAGUGGCGGACGGGUGAGUAAUGUCUGGGAAACUGCCUGAUGGAGGGGGAUAACUACUGGAAACGGUAGCUAAUACCGCAUACCAUCGGAUGUGCCCAGAUGGGAUUAGCUAGUAGGUGGGGUAAAGGCUCACCUAGUCGACGAUCCCUAGCUGGUCUGAGAGGAUGACCAGCCACACUCGAACAGAGACACGGUCCAGACUCCGACAGGAGGAAGGAGUGGGGAAUAUUGCACAAUGGGCGCAAGCCGGAUGCAGCCAUGGCGCGUGUAUGAAGAAGGCCUUCGGGUUGUAAAGUACUGUCGGCGGGGAGGCGUUACCCGCAGAAGAAGCACCGGCUAACUCCGUGCCAGCCGCCGCGGUAAUUC
rnacentral:rRNA from 1 species